rnacentral:lncRNA from 1 species
GAUAAACUUAAAUUUAACAUCAGAAAACAAAGAGGAAAGUAGAUAGAUAUCGUUGAGGAGAGAUGCGAUCUCAAGAUGUCGACCUUUUGCAUUCACAAGAUUGAUGAGGGUUUGUGAAUCGGAUCGAAUCAGGAGAGAAUUAAUCCCACGAUGAAGAGCAGAGGUCAUGGCGCUUCGCAACGCGAACGUUUCCGCCAUUAGGGGUGACGUUACAGAUGUAUCGGUCGCUGAGUGAGAGGAGGAUGAUCCAGCAUAGUCGAUGAUCCAAGCAAGACCAGC